UUACUUUUCUGGUUUUUAGCACUAAUCCAUGGCUUUCAGUACUACCUCUGAACUUUUUGUCAAAAUAUGAUAAAAAAAAAACCCUAACCCUACAUGUUUGUAUCUGUGUUUUCCUAUUACCAUGUUCUUCUAUGAGCCCCGUUCCCUUUACUUUGAUUCUUGGUGCCAAUGUUUCAAUCCCAUACCCUGCUGUUGUUCUUCUUUUGAGAAUUUUGGUUGUUUAUAUGGUGACUUUAUACUGACUCUUGCAAUCUCUGUAAGGCUGUGAUUACUAGCCUUAAAUUGUGAUUUUUGUAUCUUUCUUACAGCCUUGGUAUGGAUUUCGAAUUUCCUUCCUCAAUCAGUGGGAUACAUUCCCCAAUUAGAUAACCGAUUUCCCAAGUUUUCAAUUUCGAAAUUAUUUCUUAUAAUUAAAGUGAUCGUUAUCUGUGUGCACAAAUAUGCUAAUUUAGUUGCUUGACAUAUUUCCCUACUUAAGUAUCUUGCACCUAGUCUGCAAUAUAUACCUUAUACUAUUCUUUGUUUCCUUAUGUGGCCAGGCCAUACUUUGUGAUUCCUUUCCUUUUUUAAUGGUUUGUUUAUUACCGUUUGCCUAUGACUCCUUAAUUAACGGGGAGUCCCUAUGCUUGUGUGAUUCUGAUUGAUAUCAGUUCCUUAAAUAUGAACCGAUACCUUAUUUGUUUACUCGUUUUAAUACAAUAAAUACUCCCGACUUUUCUCUUUUGAAAACAACAACAACACACACUGCUCACAACCAAAACUCUCUGAACUCUCUUUUUCUCUGCUAUUGCUAUACUCUCUUAGUCCUUUCUUUGAACACUCAAUCGGCUAACAACCAAGAUUGAGUAACUUGAUUGGUUACUUUGCACUGUUGGGUUCUAUUUGGGUCUGUUACUACUGUUGUUCUCAUAUUACUGCUGAUGUUCUCACAUUACUGCUGCUAUUCUCAUAUUGUUGCUACUGUUUUUCCUGCUGCUACUACUCCCAUAUUGCUUCCCUCAUUCUUUUCACACUUUGCUAUCCCUUUGUGCACUAUAACAUUUCUAUUAUAUCCUAUUUUUUGCAACUGGUAUGUCACCUAUUUGAAAUACAGUCUCCAAAACAACAUGCUCCUAAUAAUUUUGCAAUUCAUAAUAUUUCUUGUGUGCUUUUGUCUGUGGUUUUGUUGAUAUCUUUGUCAUUAGCAUGUUAUUUACUGGUCUAUUAGUUCAACUUAGCAUGUCUUUCCCCUAUUCCCCUCUCCCCAUCUCAAUGCAUGUUCUUCCUCCAUGUGUACUACUGCUUGGCUACUUAACAAUUCUAAAACCUCUCCAUGAGGUUGACUAUAUUUUGGGGUUUAGUACAGUAAUAGCUAAACCUUUAUUUUAAAUAGAUCUGAUUACUUCUGCCCAACAUGUUGUCUGUUCCCUUCACUUAUCUGCACUUUACUUAUUUUCUCCCUUAUCCCCUCCAUGUCUCAAUGAAUAUCUUCUUUGGGCAUUGUUUCCAUGCAUCCAUGUCUGCUUUCCUGCUUGUUUAACCUAAAAUCUUUGUGUCAAUGAAUGUCUUCUUUGAGCAAUGGGUCCAUGCAUCCAUGUCUGCUUGCCUGCUUGUUUAACCUAAAAUCUAUAUUUGAAGCUAAGUAAAAUACAACUUAAUAAAAUAAGAAAUAUGACUUUGGCUUGCAAUCAUAUCUGAUUACUUCCUCCAAUCUGAUGUCUGUAUAUAUGUAAUUCACUUUACUUAUAUAUGUGUGUUCCCUUUCCCCUUCCCCCGUUUGUGUGAUACCCUGCUGUUCUAAACUGGUCAGUCUGAAAUAAUUUCAAAAGAACCUUUUCAACUCUUUCAAUUGUUUCUUCAGACUGCCUCAACCUUUCAUUUUUCCCAACUGUUUCUUUUAAAUUGUCUCUCAAAUGUUUUGAACUCCCUCAAUUACAAUCUCACUGUUAGAGCUUUAGGGUCUGCCCCUUGGUGUAAGCACUGCCAUGGGAGACUUGAGCACCGUUGGAACUUUGAUGCACAAGGCUGGCAUUUCCAGUGUUUGCACUUGUCUAAUUGGGACAUCUUUGGGUGCCUGGUAUUGGCCAGGGGUUCAAACGAAGAACACCCUUGGAACUUUGAUGCACAAGGCUGGCAUUUCCAAUGUUUGCACUCUUCUAAAUGGGACGUCUUUGGGUGCCUGGUAUUAGCCAGGGGUUUAAACGAAUCCUUAGGAAACUUUGCCACACCCAAGCCUUGGUAAUGGCUGUGAAACUCGAAAGGAAUAAGGUUGGAGAUGUUUGGGCCUGGCUGAAGGCUCUCUAUGGAAUAACUUCUUAUUUUUCCUUUUAUCAGUGUUGUAUUUUUAAUUACUUGGCUGUAAUAAUUUGUAAAAACAAUGGG
rnacentral:lncRNA from 1 species